GACGAACGCUGGCGGCGUGCUUAACACAUGCAAGUCGAACGGAAAGGCCCUGCGUUUGUGGCGUGCACGAGUGGCGAACGGGUGAGUGACACGUGAGUAACCUCCCCUUGACUUUGUGAUAACUUCAGGAAACAGGGGCGAAUAUCGGAGAGGAUCUCUUGCUGCAUGGGGUUGGUUGGAAAGUUUCGGCGGUUGGGUAUGGUCUCGCGGGUUAUCAGCUUGUUGGUGGGGUAGUGGCUUACCAAGGCUUUGACGGGUAGCCGGCCUGAGAGGGUGACAGGCCACACUGGGACUGAGGGGCGGCAGAGACUCCUACGGGAGGGAGCAGUGGGGAAUCUUGCACAAUGGGCGGAGGGCUGAUGAAGAAACGCCGCGUGCGGGAUGACGGCCUUCGGGUUGUAAACCGAUUUCGCAUGUGACGAAGCGUGAGUGACGGUAAUGGGUAAAGAAGCCCCGGCUAACUACGUG
rnacentral:rRNA from 1 species